AGUUAAAUUACUAAGGGCUAGUAACGGAUUCCUUGGAAAUGAUAGGCGAUGAAGGACGUGCUAAUCUGCGAUAAGUAUCGGGUAGUCGAUAAGAGACCUUGAUCCGGUAAUCUCCGAAUGUAGAAAUACAGUAGAAACUAAUCUUUCUACUAUUAUUACCUGAAUCCAUAGGGUAAUAAGGCGAACUUGGCGAAGUGAAACAUCUCAGUAGCCAAAGGAAAAGAAAACGAAGUGAUUCCCUCAGUAGUGGUGAGCGGAAGGGGAAGAGGCUAAACCAGCACAAUAGAAUUGAGCUGGGGUUGUAGGACCUUAUACGGUAUCUCCGCGCAUAGCAGAAAUUUAUUGGAAUGUAGUGCUAUAAAGGGUGAAAGCCCCGUAUGCGAAAUGCAAGGAGAACCAAAGGUAUCCUGAGUAGGGCGGGACAUGUGAACCCUGUUUGAAUCUGCCCGGACCAUCGGGUAAGCCUAAAUACUAAUCAUUUACCGAUAGUGAACAAGUACUGUGAAGGAAAGGUGAAAAGAACCCAGAUAUGGGAGUGAAAUAGAACAUGAAAUUACUAGCCUACAAAGUGUCAGAGCGCGAUUAAAGCGUAAUGGCGUGCGUUUUGAAGUAUGAGCCGGAGAGUUAUUGCAAGUUGCAAAGUUAAACUGUGGAACAGUGGAGCUGGAGCGAAAGCGAGUCUUAAUAGGGCGUUUUAGUAGGUUGCAAUAGACCCGAAAGGGGACGAGCUAGCCAUGAGCAGGUUGAAAUUUGAAUAACAUCAGAUGAAGGACUGAACCGACUGUCGUUGAAAUGAUAGCGGAUGACUUGUGGCUAGAGGUGAAAUUCCAAUCGAGUUCCCUGAUAGCUGGUUUUUGUCGAUAUAGUUUUAGGACUAGCGUCAAGUAAAUUUGCAGUUGGAGGUAAAGCACUGAAUCUAUAAGGGCGGUUCGCGCUGUACCAAAUAGAAUCAAACUCUGAAUUCCAGCUGUCUUACCUUGGCAGUGAGACUAUUUGGGAUAAGCUUUAUAGUCGUGAGGGAAAGAGCCCAGACCAACAAAUAAGGUCCCUAAAUUAAGCUAAGUGGAAAAGGAAGUCAAAAUUCAUAAACAACUAGGAUGUUGGCUUAGAAGCAGCCAUCAUUUAAAGAGUGCGUAACAGCUCACUAGUCUAGUUUUUUGGCGCCGCAAGUACAACGGGUCUAAGCUUAAUACCGAAUUUUUGGAUUUUUGAACUAGAAGUUCAUUAAUGGUAGACAAAUGUUGUAUAGGGAUUGAAGCCUGAGCGUGAGCACGGGUGGACUCUAUACAAGUAAGAAUUCCGGCGUGAGUAACGAAUGAAAGUGAGAAUCUUUUUAGCCGAUUGAUCAAGGUUUCUGGGGCUAGGUUCGUCCUCCUCAGGUUAGUCGAUCCUAAGGUGAGGCCGAAAGGCGUAGCUGAUGGACAAUGGGUUAAUAUUCCCAUACUACCUUGUAUAUUCGAUGGGUUGACAGAAUAGGUUAAACUGGGAGGAUUAUUGGAUUUCCUUUUAAGAUUUCGAGCUUGUUGGGCAUGAAAAUCAACUCAACACAAGAGUGAGAAUCGAAUACGAUCUCAGUCAGCGAUGGCUGAGAGAGCCAGACUUAAUCACGUUCUCCAGAAAAGACUCUAGGAAUAUAUACAAGGUACUCGUACCGAUAACGAACACACGUGAUCAAGGAGAAUAUCCUAAGGCUAGCGAGCUAACUACAGUUAAGGAACUCUGCAAAAUAACUCUGUAACUUCGGGAGAAAGAGUGCCCUCAUGGAAUGAGGGUCACAGUAAAGAAUGAGGGCGGACUGUUUAACAAAAACACAGCUAUAUGCAAAAUUCAAACAUGAAGUAUAUGUGGCGACACCUGCCCGGUGCCAGAAGGUCAAAGAAGGAGGUCAGGCUAGCUUGCUAGCUGAAGCUUUUAACUUAAGCCCUGGUGAACGGCGGCCGUAACUAUAACGGUCCUAAGGUAGCGAAAUUCCUUGUCAGGUAAAUUCUGUCCCGCUUGAAUGGUGUAACCAGCUCUUAACUGUCUCGACUGUAGGCUCGGUGAAAUCCUGGUGAGAGUGAAGACACUCUCUUGCCGCUAUGGGACGGAAAGACCCUAUGAAGCUUUACUGUAACUUGAUAUUGUGAAGAUUUGUUGUUAUUAGAGAAUAUGUGGGAGGCUGGGAAGAUGGCGCGCUAGCGCUGUUGGAGCCAACAGUGGAAUACCACAAUUUCAAUAAGUUUUUACUUACAUAUCUCCGUGUAUCCGGAGUAUGGACAGUGUUAGGUGGGCAGUUUGACUGGGGCGGUUGCCUCCUAAAAAGUAACGGAGGCGCGCAAAGGUACACUUAGUACGCAUGGAAAUCGUACAGUAAGGGUAAUACUAUAUGUGUGCUUGAUUGUGAGACAGACAAGUCGACCAAGUAAGAAAUUAGGCUAUAGUGAUCCGGUGGUUCUGAAUGGAAGGGCCAUCGCUCAACGGAUAAAAGCUACUCUAGGGAUAACAGGGUAAUAAUCUCCAAGAGUUCAUAUCGACGAGAUUGUUUGCUACCUCGAUGUCGACUCAUCUUAUCCUGGGGGUGAAGCAGCUCCCAAGGGUUCGGCUGUUCGCCGAUUAAAAAGAUACGUGAGUUGGGUUCAAACCGUCGUGAGACAGGUUGGUCCCUAUCUGUAGUGGCUGUAGGAAAGUUGAGGGGAUUCAUUCCUAGUACGAGAGGACCGGAAUGAACACACCGCUGUUGUAUCAGUUGUCACGCCAGUGGCAUUGCUGAAUAGAUAAGUGUGGAUUAGAUAAACGCUGAAAGCAUCUAAGUGUGAAACUAGCCUCAAAAAACUUUCCCGUCCGCGCUGAAAGUGCGGGCAUAAACAUGGUAGAAGACUACUACCUUGAUAGGCUACAAGUGUAAGUACAGUAAUGUAUUCAGCUAAGUAGUACUAAUUAUGUGAAAGAUUUAGUUAG
rnacentral:rRNA from 1 species